UUGGAUUAGAAGAAUGGACCCUAUUCAUGUUCAAUUGCCUCCUCAAAGCCUCAGUUCCUCGAUUCUGAGCUGUCAGUCAUCACUGCUGAGGACGAAGGCAGAUUCCUAUUGGCAGAUUCCUAUUGGCUUUCUCCUCUCAGUGGGUGGGAUUUAUACGGAUUCUAGUAAACAGAAUUGAGACGCAAUCUCAAAAUCAGCUUUCCUUGUUCACUUCCUUUAAGGUGCAAACUUAUGAUGUCAUCCUAAAGUGACGGAUUCUUUUUGGGGAGAUUUUCUGAUCCAGAAUGAAAUGCAAGCAAGGACACAAGGAAAUCAAAUGCACUUUUAUACACACACACACACACACACACUGACAUAUGAAAACACGUACCAGAGAUCUGUGUUAAGCUCUGCUGUUUUUACAUCUUGUGGGGCCUGUUAUGCAUUACAAAAACUCAGGGGGGUUGAAGCAAAUCUAGUGGUCUUUGAAACAGAUAAAUGCUGUGUGUUGUGAACUUAUAACCUGUGAACACGACGAAGAGAGAGGAGCAUCAACUUUUAUUUUGUGACUUUGAGUUCUCCUCCUUCCUAUAUUUUGUCUAUCUUCUAUGAAUAACCCAUCCAUUUCCCUCCACGACGCAUACAGCACGUUAGCCUGUAUGCAUGUAUGUAUUUAUGCAUUAUGAUUUGUGUAAAAAUGCAUAUACUCACUCGCUGUUUCGUCCUUGUAAAUCUGUAUUGUACUUGAGACCCGUUUUUGAGUUUUGUAAUACCUCUGAAGGGAUAGGUGAAGAGUUACGUUACACCUGUAUUGUAGGAGGGAACACUGUUACUACCAGCCUUCUGAAAAAAAAAUGGUGAAAAAAAAACACCAAUGUUGUAGCAUCUGGAGACCCUCAUGCCACAGAGGGCCCGCCCUUGUUGUGUAUAAUAGUGUACAGAUGUGUGAAUAGUACUUUGAAACCAGGCUUACAGAGGAGUGCAUGGUUGGCAAAGGGUGAAUAGUUACCGUGCGAUAUGAGGUUUAGUGCAUGACAAAAAUUUGCCAUGGUGCCGUCCCUUUAAGUUUUCAGGAGAAUCAGUGUUUUUUUCCCACCAAAAUACACCCUCCAAUAUUAGUUGUUAUAAGGUGCAAAUAAAAAUAUCUCACUGUUAAUUUUGGCACUAGACAUUUCAAAGCCACCCUCUAACUUUACAUGUUGUAGUAAGCUAGCAUCACCAAAACAGUGAACCAGGGAAACACAAGCAAAAAUCUGUUCAUCAGUAUAUAGAAUUAGAUGUUAAGUGAACCAGCAAAUAACUAUAAAAAUAUUUUUUAUCAGUACUUACUACAGGAAUAAUCACUUUCUACUGUCAACGUCUUUUAGUUCUAAGGGAUUAUAAUCACAGAUUGAUUUAUGUAUAAUGCGUGUAAAAUAUAUUUUCUCUUUUGGGAGAUAAAUUACACCUUUACACCACAACUGCUUUAUACCGGCACAAUUUCACAAAUAAAAUCUCAAAAUAUGCAAAAACAAGCAAAAAACUGACAAGACAUACCACUAGAUACCUUAAUCACCUCCUUUGUCCACUUCUUGUAAAAAAUCCUAAGGCCAGCUUUAACUUCAACCUUUGCCCUUCGAACUUUACACUUUAUAAUGAAUCUUGCUUCUUCUCAACUUGAUGUUAGUGGGUAUUUUUCCUGUGUAUUCCAUUUUAAAUUGUAAUCUAGUUUGUAUAAGAAAUGGUGCGCAUGUAAAUAAAGCUUGGUGAGGCUCCAUACACAUUAUUGUGCUGUCAUUUUUUCAGUUGUGG
ensembl:lncRNA